rnacentral:rRNA from 1 species
UACGGGGGGGCAAGCGUUGUUCGGAAUUACUGGGCGUAAAGGGCUCGUAGGCGGCCAACUAAGUCAGACGUGAAAUCCCCAGGCUUAACCUGGGAACUGCGUCUGAUACUGGAUGGCUUGAGAUUGGGAGAGGGAUGCGGAAUUCCAGGUGUAGCGAUGAAAUGCGUAGAUAUCUGGAGGAACACCGGUGGCGAAGGCGACAUCCUGGACCAACACUGACGCUGAGGAGCGAAAGCCAGGGGAGCAAACGGG